GACGAACGCUGGCGGCGUGCUUAACACAUGCAAGUCAAGGGGAAAGGUUAAUUUCGGUUGACCGAGUAUACUGGCGAACGGGUGAGUAACGCGUAGGUAACCUGCCUAUGAGUUUGGGAUAACACUACCAACGUGGUGCUAAUACUGGAUGAGGCCUUCUGCUCACAUGGGUAGGGGGUUAAAGCGGGCGCAAGCCUGUGCUCAUAGAUGGACCUGCGUCUCAUUAGCUAGUUGGUGAGGUAGAGGCUCACCAAGGCGACGAUGGGUAGCCGACCUGAGAGGGUGACCGGCCACACUGGGACUGAGAUACGGCCCAGACUCCUACGGGAGGCAG
rnacentral:rRNA from 1 species